GUGAAGAUAAUGACUGUAGCAGGUAAAGAAACCCCGGCUAACUCCGUGCCAGCAGCCGCGGUAAUACGGAGGGGGUUAGCGUUGUUCGGAAUUACUGGGCGUAAAGCGCGCGUAGGCGGACAUUUAAGUCAGGGGUGAAAUCCCGGGGCUCAACCCCGGAACUGCCCUUGAUACUGGGUGUCUUGAGUUCGAGAGAGGUGAGUGGAAUUCCGAGUGUAGAGGUGAAAUUCGUAGAUAUUCGGAGGAACACCAGUGGCGAAGGCGGCUCACUGGCUCGAUACUGACGCUGAGGUGCGAAAGUGUGGGGAGCAAACAGGAUUAGAUACCCUGGUAGUCCACACCGUAAACGAUGAAUGCCAGUCGUCGGGUAGCAUGCUAUUCGGUGACACACCUAACGGAUUAAGCAUUCCGCCUGGGGAGUACGGUCGCAAGAUUAAAACUCAAAGAAAUUUGACGG
rnacentral:rRNA from 1 species